AACCGAGAUUCCCCCAGUAGCGGCGAGCGAACGGGGAGCAGCCCAGAGCCUGAAUCAGUGUGUGUGUUAGUGGAAGCGUCUGGAAAGGCGCGCGAUACAGGGUGACAGCCCCGUACACAAAAAUGCACAUACUGUGAGCUCGAUGAGUAGGGCGGGACACGUGGUAUCCUGUCUGAAUAUGGGGGGACCAUCCUCCAAGGCUAAAUACUCCUGACUGACCGAUAGUGAACCAGUACCGUGAGGGAAAGGCGAAAAGAACCCCGGCGAGGGGAGUGAAAAAGAACCUGAAACCGUGUACGUACAAGCAGUGGGAGCACGCUUAGGCGUGUGACUGCGUACCUUUUGUAUAAUGGGUCAGCGACUUAUAUUCUGUAGCAAGGUUAACCGAAUAGGGGAGCCGAAGGGAAACCGAGUCUUAACUGGGCGUUAAGUUGCAGGGUAUAGACCCGAAACCCGGUGAUCUAGCCAUGGGCAGGUUGAAGGUUGGGUAACACUAACUGGAGGACCGAACCGACUAAUGUUGAAAAAUUAGCGGAUGACUUGUGGCUGGGGGUGAAAGGCCAAUCAAACCGGGAGAUAGCUGGUUCUCCCCGAAAGCUAUUUAGGUAGCGCCUCGUGAAUUCAUCUCCGGGGGUAGAGCACUGUUUCGGCAAGGGGGUCAUCCCGACUUACCAACCCGAUGCAAACUGCGAAUACCGGAGAAUGUUAUCACGGGAGACACACGGCGGGUGCUAACGUCCGUCGUGAAGAGGGAAACAACCCAGACCGCCAGCUAAGGUCCCAAAGUCAUGGUUAAGUGGGAAACGAUGUGGGAAGGCCCAGACAGCCAGGAUGUUGGCUUAGAAGCAGCCAUCAUUUAAAGAAAGCGUAAUAGCUCACUGGUCGAGUCGGCCUGCGCGGAAGAUGUAACGGGGCUAAACCAUGCACCGAAGCUGCGGCAGCGACGCUUAUGCGUUGUUGGGUA
rnacentral:rRNA from 1 species